rnacentral:rRNA from 1 species
AUGUAAAUUCGUUUCGCAGAAAUUCAGAGAUUUUCGAUCUCCUUGAAAGAAAAUGAGUUCGAUCAGCAACACCGGUCUCCACAGCACCAGGAAAAAGACCUUCUUUUUACCCAUAACCUUUCUCUGCAGCAUGGGAACCAAGAUCGGGCUUGGCAUUGUUAUGAGGUUCCCGUUCUAUUUAACUAA